UGACUGUGGACUAAUGUAUGCAUUGUUGAUGACACUGAAAUCGAGGAAGACAUUCUACAAGAUGUGCUGCUUACAGUUAGAGGACAAAAUGAAGAUGCAACAAGCAGCUUCUGCCACUGUCAUUUACCAUCUGAACUUGACCAAAGUCGUUCCAAGAAAUCUAAGACAACAGAUGACUCCAUGACCGAGAUGGUCAUUUGUGCCAUUAAGCAGAAUAGUGGAAGUCCUAGUCAACAUUUUUGUUGCACAUAUUGGAAGACUCCUACAAGGAACCAGUGAGAGCAUAGACUGUGAUAGUGACAUGGCAACACUGCCUUUACUGCUCCAUCUCCUUCCACCAUCACCUCAACGGAAUCAGUGCAUCAGAUUUGCAGUGAGCAGGCUUGUGGUGUAUCAUAAGUCUUGUACCAGCCUUGAAGAACAUCUUCAGCAACGAGUAGGAUGACAACCGUACCUUACUGCGGUUAGCAGGAUCUGCGGCCAGAUUUGAGAACUUUGACGUGGCUUUUGAUAAGAAUCUCACCCCAUCAGUCGGAAGGCUCCCUUUUAUUAGCAUUUGACUUUGUUUUUAAUGUAAUGUAUGAUGAUGGACUCCUUUACUUUAACUAAUUUAAUCAAACAACAGUUUACAUGUUGGGAAAACUAGAGAUUGAGAGCUGAGAGCAAACUUUUUUUAACUAGCUGUAACUAGUAUCUCAUUUACGGUUUCAGCAUGCAUUUUAUCCUUGCCCAAAUUUCUAAUUAAUAUGUGCAAAAGAAAAUUAUGAUUACUUUUGUGAUGUAUUGUUUUACAGAAUGUUUAGUGAAAGAUUUGCUGUGAUUUGCCCUAGAUGUGUGUCAGACAUGGAUUUUAAAACACUUUUCCAGUUUUGUUUAAACUCCUUGGCAAAAUUGAAAGGACUGUAUACAUAACCACUCUCUGAAAAUUUUGAAAAAGUUCACAAGUGAAACUUUAUUUUUUAUAAAUAUUUAAUAAUGUCAAAUAAAUUUGUUAAAUAAA